rnacentral:rRNA from 1 species
AGUAGUUUGAUCAUGGCUCGAGGACGAACGCUGGCGGCGUGCUUAACACAUGCAAGUCGGACGGGGUUCUUUUGAUCAGCUUGCUGAAUGAGAGAACCUAGUGGCAAACGGGUGAGUAACGCGUAGGCAACCUGCCUUUCUGAUGGGGACAACAUCCCGAAAGGGGUGCUAAUACCGAAUGACGUAUGUUCUCCGCAUGGGGAAGAUACCAAAGAUGGCCUCUACUUGUAAGCUAUCGCAGAAAGAUGGGCCUGCGUCUGAUUAGCCAGUUGGCGGGGUAACGGCCCACCAAAGCGACGAUCAGUAGGGGUUCUGAGAGGAAGGUCCCCCACAUUGGAACUGAGACACGGUCCAAACUCC